rnacentral:lncRNA from 1 species
GGGAGGGUUUGGGGCUCAAGGGGGAUGUUUUGGGGUAGUGAGAGGUUUUGUGGUGCUGAAUUGAGGGUUUGAGGCUCCAGGAGGAGGUUUUGGGGCAUCAUGAGGAGAGUUUGGGGUGCCAGGAGGAGGGUUUGGGAUGCCAGGAGCAGGUUUGGGACAUCAGGUGGGGGCCCAGCCCUGUGAGGAGGCCUGAGGUGAGGGGCAGGCCUGUGUGGAAGGGGACGAGAUGGGGCCCAGGGCUGGAGAUGAGGAGGAAGAGGAGGAAGAGAGGGCUGAGGGGGCCGGGAGACGGGGUGGUGGGGAUGGGGCCUGGCGGUGGCAGGUCUGGGUGCAGAGUGGGGCCAGGAGGGCAGCUCAGGCCUGGGUGAGGCCGUGCUGGGAUUGGGAUGAGGGCAGGAGCACAGGACAAAGGGGGCAAGGAGGCAGGGGGAUGUCAGCCCCAGAAGGUUCUGUCAGAAUGGAGCAAGCGACAGCCGCACAGGCUGCUUGCCUGGUCUGGAGGUGGUACGGGACCGGCACGUGGGUCUCCAUCAGCACCUCUGUUCCUGCGGUCACCUCGUGCCCGAGGAUCUCGGCUCUUUCUGCAAGGGGAACGCUUUCGGCAUCAAAGGUGGCAGUUCCUGGAGCAAAUAAGACCACUGGUUAUGAUGGAGCAGAGCUGAGUAAUACAGAACUUGCUUUUUCCUGGGAUAAUCCAUAG